GGCGGGGGCUGCGGGCGCCCCACUGGCACUUCAACGCCCACGAGCACGGCUUCCUGCUCCAGGGCUCCGCCUGGAUCGGCGUCAUCGGCCCCGACAACGCCACCGUCACCACCUACAACGUCACCGCCGGCCAGGUCGUCUUCUUCCCGA